GUGCAUGGCGGCAGCUACCAUGCAGUCGAGCGCACCUUCGGGUGAGCGGCGGACGGGUGAGUAACGCGUGGGAACGUACCCUUCUCUGCGGAAUAGCCACUGGAAACGGUGAGUAAUACCGCAUACGCCCUUCGGGGGAAAGAUUUAUCGGAGAAGGAUCGGCCCGCGUUGGAUUAGGUAGUUGGUGGGGUAAUGGCCUACCAAGCCUACGAUCCAUAGCUGGUUUGAGAGGAUGAUCAGCCACACUGGGACUGAGACACGGCCCAGACUCCUACGGGAGGCAGCAGUGGGGAAUCUUAGACAAUGGGCGCAAGCCUGAUCUAGCCAUGCCGCGUGAGUGAAGAAGGCCUUAGGGUCGUAAAGCUCUUUCGCUGGGGAAGAUAAUGACUGUACCCAGUAAAGAAACCCCGGCUAACUCCGUGCCAGCAGCCGCGGUAAUACGGAGGGGGUUAGCGUUGUUCGGAAUUACUGGGCGUAAAGCGCGCGUAGGCGGAUCAGAAAGUUGGGGGUGAAAUCC
rnacentral:rRNA from 1 species